UGCCUGAUGGUGUAACGGUAGCACGACAGAUUCUGGAUCUGUUUGUCAAGGUUCGAAUCCUUGUCGGGCAGCCA
rnacentral:tRNA from 1 species